rnacentral:rRNA from 1 species
UGCUAAUACCGCAUGAUGCAGUUGGGUCGCAUGGCUCUGACUGCCAAAGAUUUAUCGCUCUGAGAUGGCCUCGCGUCUGAUUAGCUAGUAGGCGGGGUAACGGCCCACCUAGGCGACGAUCAGUAGCCGGACUGAGAGGUUGACCGGCCACAUUGGGACUGAGACACGGCCCAGACUCCUACGGGAGGCAGCAUG